AUUGAACGCUGGCGGUAUGCCUUACACAUGCAAGUCGAACGGCAGCGGGGGAGAAGCUUGCUUUUCCUGCCGGCGAGUGGCGAACGGGUGAGUAAUACAUCGGAACGUGCCCUGUAGUGGGGGAUAACUAGUCGAAAGAUUAGCUAAUACCGCAUACGACCUGAGGGUGAAAGUGGGGGACCGCAAGGCCUCAUGCUAUAGGAGCGGCCGAUGUCUGAUUAGCUAGUUGGUGGGGUAAAGGCCUACCAAGGCGACGAUCAGUAGCUGGUCUGAGAGGACGAUCAGCCACACUGGGAAUGAGACACGGCCCAGAAUCCUACGGGAGGCAGCAGUGGGGAAUUUUGGACAAUGGGCGAAAGCCUGAUCCAGCAAUGCCGCGUGUGUGAAGAAGGCCUUCGGGUUGUAAAGCACUUUUGUCCGGAAAGAAAUGGCUCUGGUUAAUACCUGGGGUCGAUGACGGUACCGGAAGAAUAAGGACCGGCUAACUACGUGCCAGCCGCCGCAGUAAAAC
rnacentral:rRNA from 1 species